rnacentral:rRNA from 1 species
AUACGUAGGUGGCAAGCGUUGUCCGGAUUUACUGGGCGUAAAGGGAGCGUAGGCGGAUACUUAAGUGGGAUGUGAAAUACCUGGGCUUAACUUGGGUGCUGCAUUCCAAACUGUGUGUCUAGAGUGUUGGAGAGGAAAGUGGAAUUCCUAGUGUAGCGGUGAAAUGCGUAGAGAUUAGGAAGAACACCAGUGGCGAAGGCGUCUUUCUGGACAAUAACUGACGCUGAGGCUCGAAAGCGUGGGGAGCAAACAGGAUUAGAUACCCUGGUAGUCCACGCCGUAAACGAUGGGUACUAGGUGUAGGAGGUAUAGAAAACUCAUGUGCCGACGUUAACACAAUAAGUAACCCGCCUGGGGAGUACGGUCGCAAGAUUAAA